GCGAACGACGGACCAGCAGCGGGGGGAAUACGUAGGUGACGGGCGUUAUGCGGAAUGAAUAGGCUGAAAGCGAACGCAGGCGGCUUAAUAAGUCUGACGUGAAAUCUCGCGGCUUAACCGGGAGGGGUCGUUGGGGACUGUUUGGCUUGAGGCGAUGAGAGGGGUGUAGAAUUCCCGGUGUAGUGGUGGAAUGCGUAGAUAUCGGGAGGAACACCAGAGGCGAAAGCGGCGCACUGGACAGCAACUGACACUCAACUGCGAAAGCGUGGGUAGCAAACAGGAUUAGAUACCCGGGUAGUC
rnacentral:rRNA from 1 species